rnacentral:misc_RNA from 1 species
GCAAACUUGGUCAUUUAGAGGAAGUAAAAGUCGUAACAAGGUUUCCGUAGGUGAACCUGCGGAAGGAUCAUUAACGCAUCCCCCAGGCGGUCCCGCCGGCGCGAGAGCGCGGGCGGUCGCCGACAAACCACAAACCCCACCGCGAACCUUAACGGCAGAGGGCGGCCGACCGACCGCCCAAAGCCGCAAAACCAAAACACGCUCCCAAAAGAGAAAACUCGUGAAGCGGCCGCAGCGUCGCCUAACAAACGCAACAACUUUCAACAACGGAUCUCUUGGCUCUCGCAUCGAUGAAGAACGCAGC